rnacentral:lncRNA from 1 species
GUCCCACAUACAUUCAAUCUUUAUAUAGCUGUUCAAGAGAGCUGAGGUCUAGAGGUCCCUGUCCUGGAAGGAAUUGCGAGAGUGGGAGGUGUUGAAAGUCCAUUUCCAUCCAAAAUAUUUCAAAAUUGACGGUCCAGAAAUCGGAGCACCAUUUGAUAAUCCCAUCUUUACAGGUUUGCUUGCUCGCUGCAUCAAUUAAACCGAUAUAUCUGUUAGUCCCAUCACAUCUACCAGAACAUUACAGUUAUGGUGCAAACGGACUACAAAAAAUUCUUGUACAAUCAGGAGUACUAAAUCAAAAUCCCAAACAGAGUUUUAAUCCAAACCAAAACUGGAUUACUCUUAUAAACAAAUUGAGACCUUAUCACUUUAUUCUAAUCUGAAAUAACUGAACCGUGUGAAUCAUAAUCACACUCUAACAGAAAGUGUUUCAAAUGCAUUAAAUAGGUCAAUACAAAGAGUACCACUUGUUGACAUUACUGAGAUUCCAAACCCUCCUGCAUCAGUUUCUAAAGCUGAACCAUAUGCAGAUAGACUUAGUCUAGAUUCCGUGAACACUGAAUUCAGCUUAACAGGCACUCAUAAGAGCUUCAAACAGAGGCUUGGAAUCCAAAACAGAAGCAAGAGAAGAUAUAACAAUAAGGAGAACCUGAGCAUGUCACAAGGAACAAACGAUAUUAAGGGGACCACUAGAUCACUUCAUAAAAGGUUCAGUAAACUAAAAUUAUCUGGGAAAACCAGUUUGAGAAAAGGUGGUUCAAGUUUAUCAGAGCAGGAGCCGAAGCAUAACAAUAUUGUGUCCAGCAUGACUUCUUUCAUUCCACUUGUUCAACAGAAACACGCAGCUGCAGUUGUAACAGGUAAUUUCUUACUAGUAAUCUUAACCUUUGAACUUUGGAUUUUGCAUUACAUGUACAUAUUCCAUAUGAUUGUUUUUCUGAGUGUGGAUCAUAAUUGUACGUCUAAACUGGGUUACAGUAUGGAUGAUGGUUUUAUUUUUACUGAAUUAGGGAAUGUUUUAUUUGGAGUAGUAAAUUAGCAAUGAAUGUCUGGGAUCAUCAAGUAAAAUUUAGAGUGCAUAUUUGAAAGUCCCAUGAAAGCUGAGUUGCCCCAUUGUCCUCCAUAAGUAUGUUAUAGGUGACUUCAUCUUGUCAUACGGAGCUUGACAGUGAUUCAUUUGUUUUUUUAUUGUAUCCUUGUGAAUUCUUGUGAGUAUUCUGGGAUAUUUUUCUUUGUUUCUUUUUUUCUCUCCAAUGACUUGAUUCAGUAUUUUGACCUAUUUGUGUUUUCUUGCAGGGAAGAGGGACGUCAAAGUGAAGGCCCUGGAGGCAGCUGAAGCUGCAAAGCGUCAGGCAGAAAAGAAAGAGAAUGAACGCAAGAUGAAGAAGGAAGCCUUGAAACUUGAGCGGUCAAGAAUGGAGCAGGAGAAUAUGAAGCAGUUGGAGUUGCAGAAGAAAAGGAAAGAAGAAGAGAGGAAGAAAAAAGAGGCAGAUAUGGCAUCAAAUAAGAGACAAAGGGAAGAGGAAGAAAGGAAGGAGAAGGAAAGAAAAAGAAUGCGUAUUGAAGCACGUAGAAACAAGAGAGAACAUGAAGACAAGUUACCUGCAGAAAAGGUAGAGAAAGAAAUGAAAACCCUGGCCAUUGUAUGAUUCUUUAUGGUCUGCCUCAUUUCAUUAUAUCUAUCUUUUUGCAAUGUUAGAUAUCACUUGUAUAUUGGGCUGUCUUGUGUAGGAUGGAAGAGGCCCUGGGGGUAAGGAAUCUAAGGAUGAAAUGGCAAAUAAGAAAAUGGAGGAAGAAAGGGGAUAUGACAAUAACAUAAAUAUUUCGGAGACUAAGCCUAGUACUUCCAGGAUUUCAAUAAGCAAUGCUGGAAAAGAAAGUAUUGUCCACGAAGAGUUCCACGAGGCUUCUAGUAAUUAUGGAUAUAAAGCAGAGGUAAAUGCAAAUGAUUUUUUAACAACCAAUACCCACCAUAUCUUAGGAUCUACUUGCAUAUAUUGAGUGCUUUCACUUGUGUAGGCUGGAGCAUGAUGAUAAUCCUCUGUUAAUGGAGUUUGAAAGUCCAGAUGCAACUUUGAAUAUUCUCUUGAUUGCUCAUGAAAUCCACAAUGGUGAGAAGAAUGCUAAUAUAUAGAAAACAAGCCAACAAAUACGCUAGUCCCAUCGUGUUGUCCUGACUGAUUGCAUAGUUGAAUUACAUUGAUCCAUAAAGGAAGAACAAAUUACACUCAAGUGUUCAACUACUUACACUGAAAUCUGUAGGCGCAGCAGCCAGCCACCAAGUCUAUUUACACUGGCAUUCUAGCAAGCGGUGCCAAUAAGCCCUGCUCUCUUCAUCCAUGGUGUUUGUGGACAAAAAUAUGUGUAUGCAGCUACCACAAGAUGACAGAGGCAUUGAAAGAUGAGUAAGCAUUCCGCCAUAUGGAAACCGCAGCAGUAUAUAUAUACAAAAGUACCUGAGUGGUUGAUGUAAGCUAACAUCGUUUUCCCUCUGAUAAUCCUAUCUUCACAGUUCAAUAGUUUUCUCUCUGGACCGAUGAAGUCCCAUAUACAUUCAAUCUAUAGCUGUUCAAUAGAGCUGAGGUCUAGAGGUCCCUGUACUGGAAGGAAUUGCGAGAGUGGGAGGUGUUGAAAGUCCAUUUCCAUCCAAAAUAUUUAAAAAUUGACGGUCCAGAAAAUCAGAGCACCAUUUGAUAAUCCCAUCUUUACAGUUUUGCUUGCUCGCUGCAUCAAUUAAACCGAUAAAUCUGUUAGUCCCAUCACAUGUACCAGAAGAUUACAGUUAUGGUGCAAACGGGAGAAGUAUGAGAAAUCAUCCAGGGAUUUACCUCUUCUCUUGCAGGAGAAUCAUAUAUAUUGACCCCAAGUAGUUCCACAGUAUCAGACUACAAAAAAUUCACUCCCCUUGCACUCUCCUGUAAUUUCAUUGGAAUUGGACUCUGAAACUCUAAUUUAAGCUGGAAUAUUGCUGAGGACAAUCAAUUUAAUAAUAAAUAAAAAAAGUACCUGGCUUUUGUCUUGAGAGUUGAGAGUUGAGAGUUGGAGAGAGUGAAAUGAAAGCUCAUAUGAUGGUGAUUUCAUCAUCUACGUUUAUGCAAGGAAUGCGAGCUAUGUUUCUCCAAUCUUUUCCCUUCUUGUUCCCAUACCUCCUCUUCAGAGAAGGACAACCCCGGAUCUUCAGAUAAGAAAGAGAUGCCGGCAAACCCUCUUUUGGCAGGAAUUUGAGACUCUCGCAGCCUGAAAUUUGUAACUGUUGAAGAGAAGUGAGGUGCUCAAGUCCCUUUCCGUCCAAAGAUUUCAGAUUCGAUACAUCAGAGAUUUCGAGAGUGUGAAGAGUGGCAGGGAGCAGCUGUUCAUUGAGCAACGUCUCCACCAGAUCCCAGUUAACGAUAGAUAAUGUUUGUAGAUUGGGAGGCAAACCCCCUUGUGCAAAUGACACCACAUUUGGAAGACACUCUAUCGACAAAUGUUGAAGGGCGGUGAGGGUGUGCAUUCGGUCCGGCAACAACUUCAAAUUCACGCAAUGGUCUACUGAAAAGUAAGUCAGGUUGGGAGUGGGCAAUCCUCCGUCAGGAAAAGAGACAAGAUUUGGAAGACUGCCUAUCAAUAACCUUUGAAGGGCGGUGAGGGUGUGCAUUCGGUCCGGCAACAACUUCAAAUUCUCGCAGUUGUAGACAUGAAAGAAAGUGAGGUUGGCAGUGGGCAAUCCCCCGUCGGGAAAAGAGACAAGAUUUCGACAUAUCUGGAUAUCCAGGUAGUUGAGAUGGCGGAGAUUUUCAUCUGCUCCUCCUUCAACUGAAAGAGAUUCCAGAUUCUGACAACGCAUUAUACGAAGAGAUGAAAGGUUGGGGAAAAUGCCCAAAGGGAACGACCUCAUCUCACCUGAUAGAAAUUCUAAUUUCUUGCAAUUUACUAUACGGAGUGACGUCAGCGUGGUGGGCAGACCAUUUGUAGGGAACGACAAGAGUGAGCAACAUUCAUAUAAUGUCAAACUUUGAAGAUGAUUGCUGUUGUGCACCAUUUGCGGCAACCACUCUCUCCCACCAUCAUCGUAAAUAUCAAGACUCUGAAGCGACGGCAGCGUCUCCGUCGACUCGAGUAACAAUGAGAGACCCGGACAUCCCUUUAUUGUCAGUUGUUCAAGAGAUCGUCGUAAGGAUUCCGUGUUCAGAGUAUUACUGGCCCUGUUUUCAUGUAGAACCUUACAUCCAUCGACCCAAAGGAUUUUCAAGGAAGGAAGAUGAGUGGGCAAGCUUCCUCUCAGCUUCGGACAUUGGCGUAACCUCAGCUCCUUAAGACGAGGAAAGCCUGGACUUUCACCUCCACUUGGACUUGGCUGCCAUUCUUCCCACUCUGGCAUCUCCCGAAACUCUAGCUUCUCUAAACAUUGAAAUGGUUGAUUUCCCCCGUACAACUCAACACCAACACUCUUAACAACUUUCAUCCUUUCUACGUAGAGCUCUUUCAGAGCAGGUAGCUGACCAACUAGUGGCAAUGAACUGCAAUUACUACAGUCAUUGAGACGCAUCACUUGUAAGUUGGAGAAGGACGAGUCUCCCACCCAAUUCGGGAAACUGAUUCCGCCAUAACACCUGACGGUUAGUUUCACCAAAUUUACCGAAGGCUGUAGUCUUUCGAGUACAUGUCUCUCUUUUACAAAAUCAUCGGAAACUUCAGGACCCCAUGCCAACUCUACCUCUUUGAGAUCUUUCUUAUCCUUCAACAACGCAUCAAUAGCACCGACUACAUUUUGCAGAUUCAAGAUGGAAAUUUUUCCUCCAAGGUGCGACAACUCCCUCAGUUCUCCAAUAUUGGACCCAGUAGAUUUCCCCAGCACAAAAGCUGUCAGUGUUCUCAAACUUUUUAGUCUACCCAUAUGCACCGGCAUCUCUUUUAUUUUAGUUCCACCAAUAUCAAGAUGACGCAAAUGAAUCAAUUUCCUCAUGUCUGCAGGCAAUUCAACAAGAGAAGAACAACCUAACAACAAUAGAGUUUGUAAAUUGUAGAGAGUACACACUCUAUCUGAUAACCUUUUAAUUGCCGUAUAAGAGAGAUCAAUGUAGCGCAAGUGCAUGUGGUUACCAAUGGAAUCAGGUAAGUGAGUGAUAUUCAUAUAUCUUGAUAAUGAAAUUGCCCGUAAACAUUUUUGUGCUGGCAAUAAAUCAUCUAGAAUCUUAUUGCUUACAUAUCCACCAUUCCAACUAUAAUGUGGUGGUAAAGACACUGGAAAGAAGGUACGCAAACACUUAACUCCUUUUAAUGGCUCAAAUAUUGGAGAUGUAUCAAAUUUUCCUCUCAUAUAUGACAAGUGGCGAACUUUUUUAGAAACUUCGUGCGAAUUUUUUUGAUCCAACCUCAAACAAAACUCUCCAGACACAAACAUAGCCAAGUCAUUAAUAAGAUCAUGCAUAGUGAAACUUGGUUUAUCCAAUCUUGGUCUUUGAAAUAGUGAACGCGAUAACAGUUCAUUAAAGUACCUUUCACCAACCUCCUCCAUUGCUUUCUUGCUCUCUAAUUGUGGAAUUAAACCUUCUGCCACCCAUAGUAGAAUAACAUUUUUCUUUUCAAACUCAUAGUCCUUUGGAAAGAUUGAGCAAUAAGCAAAGCAUCGUUUCAAGUAAGCCGGAAGAUAGUGGUAACUCAAUCUUAGAGAAGGAAGAAGACUAUUAGGGUGUGGCAGAUCCCAAAGAUUACUAUCCAAUAUGUGAUUCCACUCCUUGUAGUCUAGGUUGCAACUUAAGAGACCCCCUAGCGUUUUUGCGGCUAGAGGUAAACCGUUGCACUUACGUGCAAUUUGCUUACCAAUUUCAACCAAGUCUGGAUGUGCACCGGGGUUUUCAUUUCUAAAUGCAUGUUUUUCCAGUAACGACCAGCAGUCUUCAUCCAACAAUUCUUUUAAAUCGUGAAUAGGAAUAGUAUUGUGCACGAUGGCUGCAACACGCCUGCUCCUUGUUGUUACAAUGACCUUACUUCCCCUUGCCCCAUACGUGAAAAGAAUUCGUAGACGCUCCCAGUCAUCAUAGUUUUCAUUCCAAAGGUCAUCCAAGACAAGUAAAAAUCUCUUUCCACUCAGUUGUUCCCUUAGUUGAACUUCAAGGGAAUUCAUCUCCAAAUUUUCACAAGGCUUUUUAGUGAUUUCCUGAAUAAGGGCCUUAAUAACCCUCAAAGCCUCAUACUGUUCGGAAACACAAACCCAAGCAUGAAUGUCAAAGUGCUUUUUAACUCGUUCAUCGUUGAAAAGGAGUUGAGCAAGAGUUGUCUUACCAACCCCGCCCAUACCGACUAUAGGGACUACAGAAAAAUUACUGCUACUUUCAUUGUCAGAUAACAGCAGUAGAUCUUUUAACUUGUCUUUAUCUCCAUCCCUACCAUAGGUAUAAAAUCCGCCCUCAACAACAGAAGUUGUGGGAGUUCUUUGUGAAACAUUGCCUCCAACAACAUCUUCUCUAAGACGGAGGAUAUCUUUUUGAUUUGCAAGGUGUUCCAACUUCUUGAAUAAAACUUCUAUCCUACCAUUCAUGCCUUUAUAAUUAAAAGGUUUACGACAGGUAGAAAGGAAGUUCCACACCUGGGUUUUCUUAGUCUGAUCUUUCGCCUUGCGACGCGAAACUUCAGUAUCGAUCUCAUCCACCAAGUCCUCGGCCUCGAACACAGCAUGUUUGAGCUCAUCAAGCCACUUCCCGACGUCAGGGUCGACAAUCUGCUUCUCCUCAGCGUCGUUGAGCACUGCACGGAGAUUCACCAACUUCAUCUUCAGUGUGUCCAGGAGUGAAUAGUCGAGUCUUCCUGCCCGGAAGAAGUCUAUGAACUCUCCGGAGGCAAUCUUGUCGCACAGCAACUGGAUGGAACCGGAGAGCAAAGCCUCUCCAACGAAAGCCAUUUUCUCGUCUUGGCAAAAGGACUAAUUUUGAUCAAGUAUUUGGAGUUGACAAACUGAAAAUUAUUCUUGGCAAAGCCUGUAAGAUUACUUCAUGACUGGUGAGACGACUUGAUCUUUUUCUUGGUCAAUAAUGCAGUGGACCACACACGGCAAACAUAAAGUAUAAAGUGGUGGAAGUUGGGAAACGUUUCCAUCCAACAUUAAUUUAUUAAUUAUUUUCUUCCAUAAAAUAAUCGUUGUUGGUCAUGAACAUUGGUGGAGGUUGGAAAACAUUACAUCAACCAUUAAUUUAUUUAUUAUUUUCAAUGUGUCUAAAACAUUAACCGGUAUAUCAAGUAUAAUAAUACAAUUGAUCGAAAUUUUUUUUUUCAAGUUUCUAAUUCAAUUGUCUUAGUACACUUGGCAUAACAAGCCGUGUUCCUGACAUAUUGAUUAAUCUCCCCACACAUCAAGAGGCCUAAAAUAUAUCAAUCUUCUUACCCUUAGUAUAACGGUUAUAAUUAUUAUAAUUUAAAAAUGAUCCUCUUACUUGUAACCGUUAGAUGUGUUAGUGAGAAGGAUCUGCCCCUUACGCUCCGACCACACACGUCAAACAUAGAGUAGUAAUUGGUGGAGUUUGGAAAAACACAGUAAAAAGAGGGGUGUGCUAUCCACAUCUCUUUUUAUUUUUUCCACUCCUUGUUAAUUUUUGUAAUUUGAUAUUCUUUAAUUCAUCUGAUCCGACGGUGAAAAAUUAAAAAAAUAAGAAAAAUAAAAAAUAAUAUGUGGAUAUCACAUCCCUAAAAAGAAUCACGCAAUACAUUUGGAUCUCAACAUUUUUCCGUAUGAUAAGAUCACAUGUUCCCACCAUCGUCUUGUAACCAUCGUCUUGUCACCAUCUUGUCAUUAUUUCUACUCUGGUUCUAAUUCCAAGGGGAACAUCUUCGUGUGAAAAAUAAAGUAAAAGUUUCUGGCAGGACCUCAAUGUUGGGUUGAAUUUCUACAAUUAUUAUUUACAUUUUAUACUUUUAAUCUCAACCACUAUUAUACUUUUAAUCUCAACCACUUAUUUUCUACAACAUUCAUUAUCAUGUGCUAUGGGGAAAAAAAAAAUAAAAAUAAAAACUUGAAAAGUUUCUUGCUUUUUCUUGCUUUGCCUAUAUUUUCAACAUUAAUGGGACCAUUCGUGUUUACGAUUUGGUUUGCCUAUUCAUUCAACGUUCAUGGGACCAUUCUGCUUUGCCUAUAUUUUCUUGCGUUAACCAAUUUUGACUCAAAGUUAACAUGUUUUUGCACAAAACUAAUUAAGAACACACUCGAGUUCCAUACCUUAUAUUGUCAAAUUAUCGAAUUUGAUGCCGCAUAAUUAUACAAAAGUGCAUUUAGAUUAACAGUGCACUUCCUCUUUUACAUCUAAAUUUGAACCUCCAUUUUUAUCGCUAUAAUUUAUACGAGUUUAAUAUAAAUUAUCUUAUCAUUUAUUAAAAACCCCACUUCAUAAAUAAGUAGAUGCGAUAUGUUUAAAUGCAAAUCUGUAACAAAAACAAUGGAAAAGAAUAAGUACAGAUGUUUAUGGAUAGCAAAGGUCUCGAAAACAUAUAUACUCCACAAAAUCUAGCACGAGAGUAUUGAGCCUAGAUAAUAUAACCUCCUCCCCAAUACUAAUUUAUAGCUGAUUUAUUUUGUGGUUUAGCUAAAAUCACCAAUUCUCAUUAUCAUUGUACAAAUAAAUAAAUAAAGAGUAAAUAGUAGCAAUAGUUUCUUUAACUUUAAUCAAAUUGGUUAAAGUUAAGGGACUAUUGCUCCAAUUGAGUUAAAAUUAAAAGAUUAUUUCUCCAAUUGGAUUAAAGUUAAGAGAUCAAUGUUAAUGAAUUUUUAGUUGAGGGACCGCACGUUUUGAUGGGUUAAGGAACUAAUGAUAAUAGAUUUGUAGUUGAUGGACUAUUGCUCCAAUUAAGUUAAAGUUAAGGGAUCAUUGCUACAAUUUAUUCAUAAAUUAAACAAAGGUAAGAAGAGAUAUGAAAUAUUGCAGAAGAAUUGUUAUUGACACUCCAAAAAAAUCAUUAUGCAUUUGUGUAACAAAGUUAUCAAGGAUGGAUUGAGUGCACGAUGACUUUCUUUUGCUAAUAACAAAUUCCUAAAGUGGAUCACAUUAUUAAUAUUGCUUUUGGAAAGAAUUUCUGUUAUCUGCAUCUUCUACAUAUAUAAAGUCAAAAGGGAAAACAGGUGAAACAUUUAAUAUUUCAAAAUUGCCCCUUUUAUUACAGGUUAUAUAAGAGUAAAAAUGUAAGGACAUGAUGGUAAAACCAGGCAAAGGAGAGAAAGUGGAGGAAAAAACUAGAACAUGCUUACAGAAAGAAACUAUAUUUGAAGCAUCCGUUUGGUUGCCCAGCCCACAAAAAAAAUAAAAUAAAAUAAAAAUCCCACAAUUAAAUCUACAAACAACGGAAAUGUGACACUGAUGUUAGCAAACUUUUAUGGUCUUCAAUCUCGAUAAUUUAUGUGCACAUUGGAAUCCAUACUUCAUACUUCACUUGUUUUUGUUGAUCUCUUGUGAUAGGAUACUGUGUGAUAACUGAAUUGGUUGAUAAGUAAGCAUUGUAUUAGUGCUGACUAGGACAGAUAUGUAUGGUUAAAAAGGAUAAGGUUGUUAGUAGUAAGCUUACGGAGGAAGCUAACUAGCUACUAUAUUAGAAAGGAUUGUAAACGGAAGGGUCGUUGUUGUAAUUGUUGUUAAUUGUAAUAGAAAGUUACUUGUUACUGCUACAUAGAAGUCAAGAUGCAGAGUUAGGGUUCUAUCAUUGGUAUCACCGCCAGUGCAUUCGAUCCGGCUUGAUCCUUCUUCGUGUAUGACUCGGCUCGGUUCCAGACGCACCAUGGAAACGAGAGUAUCUCAGCUUGAGUCCCUAUUUGCUGAUUUCCAGAAGGAGUUCAAAGAUUCCAGGCAUGAAUUUCAAGAAUCAAGAACUGAAUUUCGAAAUGCCCAUGAGCUGAUUUUGCAGCAAUUGCAGGUGUUAUCGACGAGAGGUAGUGGGUUGAUGGGCGAAUCGUCGGAAGGGACACAUUCUGAUCACAAUUUACCGCCGGGAGUGAAUCCUCAGUUUGUUCGUCAAGAAUCGAUUCCGUCGCCUCGACAACCAUUUAUCAAGAUCGAUUUUCCCAGAUUUAGUGACGGCGAUGACCCCUUGGGGUGGAUCUACAAAGCAGAGCACUAUUUUGAUUUCUUCGGUGUCGAGGAUUUCAAGAAAGUAAAGAUGGCAUCAUUCCAUCUGGAUGGCGAACCUCUACAAUGGUUCCAAUGGGCUAAUUGUAUCCGGACAUACCCUAGGUGGGAAGAUUUCACUCAAGCUCUUUGUCAAGAAUUUGGUCCGUCGGAGUUCGACGAUUCGGCAGAAAGCUUGGUUAAACUUCGCCAAACGGGAUCUCUGCGUGAUUACAUCUUGGAGUUUCGAAGAUUGGCGAAUCGUACAAGGGAAGUUACCCCAUCUCUCUUGCGAUCUUGUUUCAUUGGUGGUCUUAAAUCGGAGCUGCGUCAUGAUGUCAAAAUCCUAAAGCCCAGAGACGUUCUGGAGGCCACUGCUUAUGCUCAACAGAUCGAUGCCAAGUUGUCUGAAUUAAAGGUCAAGUCUUUUCCUCGUUCAUCUGUUAAUUCUUCGUUUCGUCCUCCAUUACAGAAUGUUGCUGAUACUGUUGUGGGAAAUAACAAAUUCAAACAUGAAAAUGUGAGGCGAUUGACACCUGAAGAGGUCGAAUACUGUCGGAAACAUGGUCUUUGCUUCCAUUGUAAGGAAAAAUUUGUUCGCGGCCACACUUGUGAGAAGAAACAACUUUUAUUGAUUGAUGUUCAGUAUGGUAGUGAUAAUGAAGCCUCUGACAUUGAAAAUUUGGAACCUGAGAUUACAGCAUGUGCCCUUUUUGGUACCCCAGCUCCUAAGUCAAUUAAAACCAUGAAGGUUCUUGGUAGUAUUAGGAAUUGUCCGGUGGUAAUACUUAUCGAUUCUGGUAGUUCCCAUAACUUCGUGGAUUCUGUGUUGGUCAAGAAAAUCAAUGGACAAUUGAAUACAGAUCAUUCUUUUAGUGUCAAGAUUGCGGAUGGGGGCCAAGUCAAGACUACAGGUUCUUUAGGGGCUGUUUCACUCAAGAUUCAACAAGAAUCUACUAUAUUAGAAAGGAUUGUAAACGGAAGGGUCGUUGUUGUAAUUGUUGUUAAUUGUAAUAGAAAGUUACUUGUUACUGCUACAUAGAAGUCAAGAUGCAGAGUUAGGGUUCUAUCAUCUUGGCACAUCUAUACUAAAUUGUUUGGUGUUAGUCGGUUUGUUUGAUUCAUAUUUCAAUUUUGUAAGUAGCCAGAGUAUCUUAGGAAAUGAAAAUAUCAAAAAUAAAAUAAACAUUUGUAAAUAGUGUCAAGCGCAUGUAGUUAUAAAUUUGUAAGUCACACGUAGCAUGCCUGAUUAAAGGCCUUUAAUCCAUGUCCCAUUGUUAGCACGCCUGAUUAAAUGCCUCUAAUCCAUGUACCAAUUGUUAACAAUGAUAAACAACUAAUGCAACAUAUUUUAGGGGUGGGUAACGCCUGUGAUUAAAAAACCUUACGCGCAUGCAGAGAUGCUAGUUUAGAGUAAAUAAAGAAGACUGUACAUACGCAAAUGUGGGAUAAACUAGGGUUGGAUACGGCCAGGCCAAACUCAAAAUUGAAGCAGAUGGACCGGACCCGUUUGUAACUGAAAUGUGACGGGACAGUGCUGGUCUUGUUAGCUGAGAAAUGAAACCGGACUUAACCUGACUCGUUUGAAAUGAACCUGUUCCUACAGGUCCAAGGGUCAUUUUUUUAUAUAAAUUUUUUGUUAAUAAACUAUGACUGUUGUGCUUAAAGUAUAAGCUGGGUGUGCUUGAACAAAAUAGCUGUUGUGCUACAAGUAAAAGCACAAUAAAUUAUAGUGGAGUAGCCUACCAUCACUUUUCAAUUUUCAUAAGUUCCAAGUGAGCCGAAGGCAAAGGCUAACAGUCAGCCAAAAUGCCCAACUGAAAAUAUAGAAAAGAAAGUACACAAACAGCAAGUUACAAAAUGAUUGUCCUUUAAACCAAAUCAUGGUGACGCCAAAUUGCCACAAACCAACUUGCAAAUUUGAAUUCUUCAAAUCUAGAAGACAAUCUUAACUCCAUGCAACCUCCCUAAUAAAAUUAAAUCAAUCACAAAACCCUAAUAGCAAUUGAUUAACAUGAGAUUAAUAAAUUUCAUCGAAAAUCUAAUUAGAUAAUACCUUUAAAUUAACCACAAAAAUAACAAAACCGCAUCAAAAUCCCAAUUUUCAAUUCCACUGUAGAGAGAAAUCGAGUAGAUCCCCCAAUAAAAUGAAACAUGCAAAUGAGAAUUAAAUAAUUACAACUCAAAUUAAAAGCUUAUGCUUUCAUAGACAUCUGAAUUCUUGAAAAUUUACCCAUCUAGGCGGUAGCCCCAAUUAGUCGAAAUCGAUCGAGCAUGAGAGAUUUUCUUUCAUAGACAUUUGUUUUACUAGACAUUUGCUUUCAAACGAGCAUGAGAGACUCAUGUAGAACAAGAUAUGGAUUAAUUUUGAAGACAUCCAUCAUAUGGUAAAUUAUUAGAAUUGGAUAUCUACUUUUCCCUACAAUAAUAACUGGGUGUUGUUAUUGGAACUCAACUCACAAUCAAAAUAUAAUUAUCAUUCAUUUUUCUCUCUUCGUGGCCAAAGGACUAAUUUUGAUCAAGUAUUUGAAGUUGGGAAACUGAAACUACAUUUAUGUGCUCAUCUGAAAACCACAUUUAUUUGAUCACGUUUUCUUUCAUUACUUUUUUUUAUAUACAUUUUCUAACAUGCCAUUACAUAAUCUGAUCUCUUUUUAAUUGUAUUAUUGUAUCAGGUAAAAAAAACCACAUUUAUGGUAAGGACUUUAUGCAGAGCGGGCGGGAACCACCAAUAUUUUGGUGGUUCUGUCAAAUGCCUUAAUUGUUGCUGAAGAUUCAAGAGUUACAGCAUUUUAUGGUGAAAGUAAUAUUUCUUUAUCUUUAACUAACAAAUUGAUUAUUACUCGACUAUGUUUAUAGUAUAUGCAGUAUAUUAAUUGGUUCUAAUUUAUAUAUACAGUUCGACCCGAAGAAAAGAAAGUUAAACGCAUUUCUAAGAAUCCUCCAACACGAGCAACAUGAUGUCAUGAUCAAUGUGAUGCGCAUUAUAUGUUAGGACAUAUAUUCACAAGGAAGAUAUUAGAGUCCAUUAGGAGAGAGCAAUGCUUCUUUCCUUGCUUGGAAAUUCGCCUAUUUUUCCCUCUUCCACUUCACAAGGACUUGUAUCAGGAGGUUUGAAUGCAUUCAUAUUGAUCAUGACACCAUGUUGCUCGUGUUGGAGGAUUCUUAGAAAUGCAUUUAACUUUCUUUUCUUCGGGUCUAACUGUAUACAUAAAUUAGAACCAAUUAAUAUACUACAUAUACUAUAAAAAUAGUCAAAUAAUAAUCAAUUCGGUUGUUAAAGAUAAAGAAAUAUUACUUUAGCCGGAAUAUGAUGUAACUCUUGAAUAUCCAGCAACAAUUAAGGCAUCUGGCUGAACCACCAAAAUAUUGGUGGCUCCCGCCUGCUCUGCAUAAAGUCCUUACCAUAAAUGUGGUUUUCUUUGCCUGAUACAAUAAUACAAUUAAAAAGAGAUGAGCACACAAUCAAAUUAUGUAAUGGCAUGUUAGAAAAUGGAUAUAAAAAAACGUAAUGAAAGAAAACUAAAGACAGAAAACUUGGUUUUACUUACUGUCUUAGAGAUUUUCUGUUUAAUUGUUCUCAUCAAAUUGUUUGUCUACUUUCAUUUGGUCUUUUAUAAUGUAUAAGAUUGUGUUUGAAGGGGUGAAUAUACUGAUGAACUGAACGCAGUCAAACCUCAUGAUACAAGUCCGUGUGAAGUGGAAGAGGGAAAAAUAGGCGAAUUUCAAAGCAAGGAAAGAAGCAUUGCUCUCUCCUAAGAGGGAAAAAUACCGACUAUAGGGACUACAGAAAAAUUACUGCUACUUUCAUUGUCAGAUAGUGUUUUUAACUUUUCUUUAUCUUUAUCCCUACCAUAGGGACAGAAUCCUUCCUCAACUACGUAAGUUGUGGGAGUUCUUUGUGAAACCUUGCGCCCAAUACCUUCUCUAAGACCAAGGCGAUUUCGCUGUUCUGCAAGGUGUUCUAACCUCUGAAAUAACUCCUCUAUCCUACCAUUCAUGCCAUUGUAAUUAAAAGGAAUACGAGAGGUAGAGAGGAAAUUGCACACCUGGGAAUCAGAAAACACAUUCAUCAGGAUUUGAACCCAUGGGAAUCCUGCAAGGUGUUCUAACCUCUGAAAUUAUAAACCGAUUAAAGUUUCAGCAACAAGGAGAUUACUCAAUCAGAAAACACAUUCAUCAGGAUUUGAACCCAUGGGAAUCAGCUGUAAUUAAUAAUUAUCAAUAAUUAAAAGUAAUGAACCAGAAAUUCUAGCAAAAAUAAUUCGCAAUUGCAGAAAUACAGUAAAAUCUGCAUUCCAAUCAAACAGAGGGCAUGGAAAAUCGAAGUGUGGAUGGGAAUUUACAGACCUGGACGAGCUAAACUAAAUUUCAGGCCUAACUAGUAACUACAUUAUUCAGACACAAUCCAAAACAAUACUGCUAUGUUAUAUAUUCUAAACAAAAUUAGCUUACUGUAACUCAACCAUUGAAGCCCACCAAUUAGGGCUGGGUUCGGUUUAAAACGGUUCGGUUUUUUGCCAAAACCGAAACCGAACCGAAAUUUCGAUUCAGUUCGGUUCGGUUAUUUUUUUUUUCGGUUCGGUUUUUUUCGGUUUCGGUUUUUUCCGGUUCGGGUUUCGGUUUUUUCGGUUUUUUUUUUCUUUCAAAAAAUGAUGUAAAUAAUGGAAGGAGCUUACCUAUCAACCUCCCAAUUCUCAUAUAUCAGAGAAUUGAGAACCUCAAAAUCCUGAAUAUAACUUUAAAAUUUGCAAAAUCAUGAAAUAAUUCAACAAAUUAACUGAUGCAGAUCAAAAAAAAAAAAAAAAAAAGCAAAUGGGUUCGUCUAAAUGCCAUAAUCGAACUCCAAUAUCACAUGUCCAGUGCCCAUAUUCAAAUUCAUAGUCUAGUCCACAAUAGAUCUAGAAAAUUCCAAAACAUAUUCAGAGAAAAAUACAAACUUUUCCACCUUAAAUUACAUAAAUUUCAAAUGGGUAACCUAAAAUUAAAAACCCAUAAACUGAAAAAUAGAUAAAACCCACAACCUUUGCUGCAGCGAUAUCGCAGUGAUCGUCGCAAGCUCUUACAAUUCCUCUUUUCGUCGGGUCUCGAAAGGGGCGAGGGAAAAUCAUUGUUUGGAAGAAAGAAUCCACGAGGAGGACAAGAGAAGACUAGAGAGAGUGAUUUGGAGGAAGAGAGGAAGGAGAGGGAGAGAGAGAGAGACUGAGGAAGCAGAGAGGAAGCCGCGGCGGGGAGAGAGACUUUGAGAUCUGAAAAUGAAAUGGGAAUGGGACACUGACGACUAGGGUUUUAAGCUUAAGAAAUUUUAUAAACCAUUCAAUAUAAGAAACCUAUAAAUAAUAUACUAGUACAAUUAUAACAAUAGAAAGCCUACAGUCAAGUUGGCUGACAGUACCUAAACCCAACCUACAGGUCAGGGGUUCGAACCUUGAUGCUAACAUAUUUUUUAGUAUUUAUAUAUAUAUUUUUUUUCGGUUCGGUUUCUAGACCUCAAAAACCGAAACCGAACCAACCAGAUUCGGUUCGGUUCGGUUUGGCAGUUUCGGUUCGGUUUUUUUCGGCCUCGGUUCGGUUUGGUUUUCGGUUUUUUUCGGUUUUCGGUUAUUUGAACCCACCCCUACCACCAAUCCCCCUAUAAUCCAAAACAACACUUCUCUCCGUGCUUGGCAAUUGCAGCCAAUCCAUCCCCCUAUAAUUCGUGCAGGUCCUAUUUCCCCAUCCCCUAUAAUUUUAUUCCACAAAUUCGUGCACCCACCCUCCCAAAGACCUGCAGGUCCUGCACUGCACCCACCCUAAACCGGAACCCAUCCAACCUGAAACCCUCCCAAAAACCUGCACCCAUCCUAAUCCGAAACCCACAGUCCUCAAACCCUCACACAUUCGACAAAAUGCUCAGAAAUCAAGUUAAUCAACAUGAAAUUUGACCCUAAACCCUAAAGAAAAGCCCAGCUUACCUGGAUUUUGGGUCUCGAUUCGUGUCAGAUUCGCAUCUUCCUGCGUCUGUGUGUGUGGCCGGAUGAGCGUCGUUGAAGUGAACGGAGGAGCGGCGUUCAAACUGGACGGGCUUGACGGAGGACGGGAGGAGCGCUGGAGCGCCGUUUGACCUUUGUUCUUCGAGAGAGAGUGAGUGAGCGAUUGAGAGAGAGAGAGGGACCUAACUUACAAUGGUCAUUAGGAUUUAAUCUUAACCAAUCUUACGGUGCAAGUAAUUUCUAAUUAUAAAUUAAAAAUAUAUAUAUUUAUAUAUAUAAUAUUUGGUUCGGUUCGGAAUGACUGAACAGUUUCAAAGAUGAGGCUGAAUCCCAAACCAAAACAUUUCGGUUUCGGGUACCGAAUAUUUCGGGAAAUUUUCGAUCAAAAUUUGGGAAGGAUUAGGGACGGUUUGGGAUUUUCAAGAAAAAAUUCCAUUCCUAUAAAUUUGAAUCACUAUUCUUAUCUCUGUAAUUUAGAUGAGUUUAUUAUAAAUUAUCUUAUAUUUUGUUAAAAAAUCCAUUUCAUAAAUAAGUAGAUGUGAUAUGCUUAAAUGCAAAUCUGUAACAAAAGCAAUGGAAAAGAAUAAGUACAAAAACGGAAUCGUUGCCUUUUAUCUCUAGGUAAAAUAGAGCACCAAGAUGGUCAUCAAAGAGGUUUUGAUUACGACUGCCCACUUCACCUUCUACGAAUUCAACAUCAAGGACAAUCAAUGGGUUCGUUUCCCGAAUCGUAACUUCCAGUUCUCCAUUUGGUUGCCCACAGAAAAAAAACCACAAUUAAAUCUUCAAACAACGGAAAUUUGAAGCAUAAAGUGAGAACAAAUAGGUCGAAAUGUGACACAGAUGUUAGUAAACUUUAUGGUCUUCAAUCUUGAUAAUUUAUGCACACAUUGGAAUCCAGACUUCACAUAUUCGCUUAUAUUUGUUGAUCUCUUGGCACAUCUAUACUAAAUUGUUUGGUAUUAGUCAUUUUUUUAAUUCAUAUUUCAAUUUUGUAAGUAGAAAAGGUAUAUUUGUAAAUGAAGAUAUCAAAAUAAAAUAAAAAUUUGUAAUUGCGCCAAGCACAUGUAAUUAUAAAUUUGUAAGUCACGCGUAGCACGCCUGAUUAAAGAUCUCUAAUCAAUGUACCAUUGUUAGCACACUUGAUUAAAGGCCUCUAAUCCAUGUACCAAUUGUUAACAAUGAUAAAUAACUAACGCAACACAUUUUAGGGGCGGGUAGCGCUUGUGAUUAAAAAAAUGCCUAACGUGCAUGCAAAGAGGCUAGUUUAGAGUAAAUAAAGAAGAUUGUAAAUAUGCAAAUGCGGGAUAAGUUAAGUGUGGAUAUGGGGUAGGCUAGACUCAAAAUUGAAGCAGACGGACCAGACCCAUUUGUAAAUGAAAUGUUGCAGGGUAGGGCGGGUCUUGUUAGUUGAGAAAUGAAACCAGACUUAACCUGACUCGUUUGAACGAACCGGUUCCUACAAGUUCAUGGGUCCUUUUUUAUAUAUAUAAUGUUUGUUAAUAAGUUAUGACAGUUGUGCUUGAAGUAAAAGCUGGUGUGCUUGAACAAAAUAGCUGUUGUGCUCCAAGUCAAAGCACAAUAAAUUAUAAUGGAGUAGCUUACCAUCACUUUUCAAUUUUCACAAACAGCAAGUUAGGCUAUCUCCAACCGAGGGCUGGUCAGAUGGCUCGUUUUAGCCAUCUGACCCUCAAAGAUAUUAAGGUCAUCUCCAACCGAAGGUUGGCCAGUAGGCUCAUUUUAGCCCUCUGGCUUUCCAAGAUAUUAAUAUUUUAAUGAAUAGUACAAGGCCAUAUUUGCAUCAAUCUCCAACUGAGGGCCAAAGGCCCGGAGGGCUCAUUUUAGCCCUAUCACAAAAAACUUAGCCCUUGGUUGGAGACGGAUUUCGGGCUAUUUUUGGCCCUCUGGACAGGCCAUCUCCAACCAAGGGCUGGCCAGAGGGCUCGUUUUAGCCCUAUGGCCCUCCAAGAUAUUAAUAUUUUAAUGAACAGUACAGAGUUAUAUUUACCUUCAUCUCCAACCGAGGGCUAAAGGGCCAUAGGACUCGUUUUAGCCAUAUCACGAAAAAUCGUCUCCAACCGAAAGCGGUCGGAAGAGGCAGAAACGCCUCUGUGAGUCUUUCUAACCCCUGAAUGGGUGGAUAUGGCUAAGCCAUUAGCUAGUCUCCUUUUUAAUAAGAUAAAAAUAUAUAUAUACACACACACACACAUUUGCUACACCAACUAGUAUAGGUAAGUCCACAUUAGGCUAGGUUACAAAAUUUAAACUUAAAAGCCGCAGACUUGGGUGGCUAGAGCAAUGUGGUUCGAAUCCUUGUUUUCAUAUCCAUAAUUUAGCUAAAUUUAGUGUGGAUCAUCUUAUCGUUUUUUCAUAAAUCCCGUGUAACGAAUAAUUCAAUGUGAUAUGUUUAAAUGCAAAACUUGAGCGAAACACAGUGAAAUGAUUAGAAACUAUCUCCACCACAUAUCUGUACCAAAAACAAUGGAAAAGAACAAGUACAAAUGUUUACAUGAGAGAAGUUGUAAGGACUUGGAUUGUGAGGGUCAUCUCCACUUUGAAAGUAAUAGCUGAAAGUUGGAGGUUCAUGCAGAUUAAACCAUUCGCCAUUGAUGAACACCUCAAAAGAGCGAAACCAGCCCUGCUGAAACUUUUAAGUACAAAAUUAAAAAAUAAACAGUUCAAAGAUCCGACUUUGAUUUGCAUCAAUGAAAGUUGCAACGAAUGCGAACUAUAUUGCCUCAAUCUUUUCAAUUCAUAUUCUUUGCACACCUCUUCUUCAGAGAAGAACAAACUUUUUGGUGAUAGAUGGCGGGAAAUCCUCUUCUGGCAGGAAUGCAAGACAAUCGAUGAUGCAUAGCUGAGCUGAGGUCCUUCUCCGGGCAGGAAUUCCGAGAGUGCGUGGUGUUUUGAUCCACAGAUUUCAAACUUGAUCGUCCAGACGGUGUGAGUGGAAGAGAGCCGCUGUUGUUUGAGCAAUGUCUCCAACAGAUCCUCACGUCCCCUGAUCUGAAAUUCUCCAAGGGAGACAUAGCACAGCUCGAUUCCACUGUUAAAAAAUACCCGAUAUUAUAAAUGCAAAUAUAGACAAGGCAAAAUGAAAAAAGCAAAAGAAAAGGAAGGUAAAUUACAAUUUACAAAUCAUCAGUGUUAAACCGAGAAUCGAUAUUUAUCCUUCUGGUGAAAUCUGUAGCGGAACAACCAGCCUCCUUGUCAGCCUCCUUGUAUGGUAACGCAAUGUACUGGCAUUCAUCCAAACACAGUUAAGUGGUGCUAAAUACAGAUUAGUGUCAAAUUAACUUUGAAGACAAUCAAUUCUGUUGGAAAAUUUGAGGACAAUCAAUUUAACAUAACUACAGAUAAGUGGUACUAAAUACGUACCAGGCUUUGUCUUGAGAGUUGAGAGUUAGAGUGAAAUGAAGGCUCAUAUGGUGAUUUCAUCAUCUAUCCUUAUGCAAGGAAUACGAGAUAUGUUUCUCCAAUCUUUUCCCUUCUUGUUCCGAUACAUCUUCUUCAGGAAGGACAACCCCAGAUGCUGAGAUGAGAAAGAGAUGCUGGCAAACCCUCUUUCGGCAAGAAUUCAAGACUCUCGCAGCUCAAAAAUUCGUAGCUGUUGAAGAGAAGUGAGGUGCUCAAGUCCCUUUCCGUCCAAAGAUUUCAGAUUCCAUACAUAAGAGAUCCAGAGAGUGGGGAGAGUGGCAAGGAGCAGGUGUUCAUUGAGCAACGUCUCCAGCAGAUCCUUGUUUCCUUCGAUCUGAAAUUAAUUGGCUCCUGUAGGAAGAUUUAGUAUUAACCACCCACCAUAAAAUGAACUUAAAGGUAGUCAUUACAGAACAAAGCACACUAUGGUUCAUGAGCAAACUUAAAAGUAAUCAUUACAACUUAUGACUAUUACUAAGUUAAAGUUUUUUAGGGUGUCAAAGAUUCGCCUCAUCAAAAUCUUGUGGGAGAUUUCAACCCAGUUGAAGAAAAAAGAGUACCACACACCAACAAACUACAAGUUAUGACUAUCUAGCUUGUAUUAAUUAAAACAUCCAAAAUAAUGUCCAGGGGAGUCUUCAAACUAUAGCAACUCUUGAUAUCAUGCAAGUCUAUGUGCAACAUUUUUUGGCCUCUCGUCUCACAUAAUAUUGGACCAAACGCAGAAUAAUCCUUCUUCUUUUGCUACAGUCCCGCCAAAGAUAGAGUGGAAUUACUCUCCACUUCCACAGCUGCAGCCGCCAUCGGCAGCCAACGACGCAGUGUUCUGGCCUAAAACGUAUGUGGUAGAGAAAAAUGAAACCCUACGCGAGCACUUGCUGCAAUGCAGCAACAAAGUGUGGCUGCAUACGAAUCAGAAAAACAAAUACUAUAUAUUAAGAGAAACAAUGAAUGGACCCCUUAGCGACUGUGAAAUCCUGCUAUGUGCGAUAAUGUACAUGACGCACUUCCACGGUUGAGUUGCUACUUACCAAGAAGGUUUCUAAAUUUGAGAGUCCAUUGCUCCAACUUUCACCUUCAAACUUGGGUUAAGGCGUAUCAUCGUCAAUUUCUCCAGGGCAUCUUCCUCUAGAGCGGUUAACGAAUCAAAUGAUUGCCUGCAUAUAAAGUAAGCAAAUCUGCAAUGUUCAAAAAAAAUUUGCUUCGUUUGUUAACUUGCUAUGCGAGUCACACGACAUCACACACGCUAAUAUAAAGAAAACAUUGCAUAUUCUCUUGAUUGCUCAUGAAAUCCACAGUCGUGAGAAGAAUGCUAUAACCUCUCAGUUCCCUUGAUCACUACCAGGAGAUAAGGUGUUCAUUGGCGGCAACAAUAGGCACAAUUUUGUUUAAGGUAUGUGAUAUAUAUAUAUAUAUAUAUAUAUAUAUAUAUAUAUAUAUAUACACACAUAUAUAUAUAUGUAUGUAUGUAUAUUCUUCUUUAAGGAGAGUAUGUGGAUGCAGAGUUUUGAUGAAAAUGUAGGAAAAGAACGCAGAGCUCUACCUUCACACGCUUUCUACCGUUUCAUUAUAAAUCGAACUGUGAAAAGCAUGUUUUCUCUCAAAUCCAUUUCAAUAGAAUGCCAACUCAACCACUUUCCUUUUUCAUACCUCAGCUUAACAAGAUACUCCUAAAUUCAAAGAUGAAGAAAUUAUUAUUGAUACAUUUAUCUUAGAAAACAAGCGAAUGGAACUUAAAGCAAAAGUGAGUGGUGGAACGCUCAAUUACCGCUCAUCCGCAGAGCUCAACAUAAGAAUUAUCAUUCUUGUGAAAUCCAUUGCACACCAGCCAACCACUUAUUCAAGUAAUAUCAUUUACUGGAAUACCAACAAACACAAGCAUGACGACACUGCUACAAGGAACAAGCGCUCUGUUCGACCACUUUGUCUGUAAAAAAGCACAUCUGCACCCAUUCGAAGAUAAGAAUGACAUCAAGAGAAGAUGAAAAGGCAUGUCUCCCAUACUCAAACUAUAAACAGUAUUAGAAGAAAAAAACAUCAUUCCAGGGAUUACCUCGCCGAUUAAAGGAGAAUUAUAUUCAUGCCAGAUAACUGGAGCUAGCACCAUUCAAGGACAACCAAUUGAUGCAUGUUUAAAUCGUUGGCUGUAGAUAAUCCUAUCUUUACAAGUCCAGAGUUGCUAGCUGCAUCAAUAAAGCCGACAAAUACGUUAGUCCCAUUGUGUUGUCCUGACUGAUUGCAUAGUUGAUUUACAUUGAUACAUAAAGGACGGACAAAUUACACUCAAGUGUUCAACUACUUACACUGAAAUCUUUAGGCGCAGCAGCCAGCCACCAAGUCUAGUUACAUUGGCAUUCUAGCAAGCGGUGCCAAUAAGCCAUACUCUCUCCAACCGUUGUGUUUGUAGAGAAAGAGAAACAUAUGUAUACGAACCUACCACAAGAUGACAGAGGCACUGAAAGAUGAGUAAGCAUUCUGCCGUAUGGAAACCACAGAAGUAUAUAUAUUAUACACAAGCACCUGAGUGGUUGAUGUAAUCUAUCAUUUUCCCUCUGAUAAUCCUACCUUUACAGUUCAAUAGUUUUGUCUCUGGACCGACGAAGUCCCACAUACGUUCAGUCUCUAUAUAGCUGUUCAAGCGAGCUGAGGUCUCGAGGUCCCCGUCCUGGAAGGAAUUGCGGGAGUGGGAGGCGUUGAAUUGAAAGUCCAUUUUGUAACGCCCCGAUCCCGAUAUACGUUCACGAUCGACACGUGACGUCACCAAAUACCUGUAUCUCAACAUACCCCGCUUCCAGGAUAUGGCAAAUCACAACUCGAGAAUCGAAUCGCAUAGUAAUUUUUUUGUAUACUUUAUGGCUGCAUCUAACAUCCUCGUUAGACUGCAUACGUAUCCUCAAUAGGGAUCAAGCCAUUUGUAGUUCAUCUUUCACUGCACUUGAACAAUCAUCGUUUAAAUCUCUAUGUCUCAACAUAAUACCACGAUUCAGAUAUGCAACAUAUCAAGGAAUAUUCGACGAAGCACAAUAAUAUUCUCUAGUCAUCUUAUCAUUUCCACACACAUAAGCUUUCAAACCCCAUUCAAUAAUCACAGCAAUCAAUAACACAUACAAUACAUCAAAAUGCAGGGUUAAAGCGACACCGUUCGGCUGAAGCCUACAUCUCUGAAGUUGAAAUCAAAUCCAAUGAACCAACAAGUCAAAUACUACGAUUUCGGACCACUCAACGAAGUCCAUCAACAUCGGGUUUCGGACCACUUAACGAACUCGCGGAGUAUAAGGGAUUUUGAACCAUCACUCAACGAAGUCCAUCAACAUCGGGUUUCGGACCACUCAACGAACUCGCGGAGUAGAAGGGAUUCUGAACCAUCACUCAACGGAAUCCAAGUGGAUACGAUUCCAGACCAUCACUCAAUGAAAUCGCGAAGUAGAAGGGAUUCCGGACCAUCACUCAACGGAAUCCAAGUGGAUACGAUUCCAGACCAUUACUCAAUGAAAUCGCAAAGUAGAAGGGAUUCCCGACCAUCACUCAACGGAAUCCAAGUGGAUUCAAUUUCGGACCAUCACCCAACGGAAUUGCAGAGUAGAAAGGAUUCCGGACCAUCACUCAACGGAAUCCAAGUGGAUACGAUUCCGGACCAUCACUUAAUGGAAUCCAAGUGGAUACGAUUAUGAACCAUCACUCAAUGGAAUUGCGAAGUAGAAGGGAUUCCGGACCAUCACUCAACGGAAUCAAAGUGGAUAUGAUUAUGGACCAUCACUCAAUGGAAUCGCAAAGUAGAAGGGAUUCCGGACCAUCACUCAAUGGAAUCCAAGUGGAUACGAUUCCAGACCAUCACUCAACGGAAUCACAGAGUAGAAGAGAUUCCAGACCAUUACUCAACGGAAUCCAAGUGGAUACGAGUCCAGACCAUCACUCAACGGAAUCACAAAGUAUAAGGGAUUCUGGACCAUCACUCAACGGAACCCCAGCGGAACCUAGUUCGGGACACUUAAUGAAACCGAGCGGAAGUCCAAAGAACAUAUCAACGACUCAAAGAAACAAGACAUGAAUCAAGUUACUCAAGUUACAAAGGCUCAACGAAAUGAAACAAAGCACAAGUAUUAAAUGUAGAACGGCUCAACGAAACGAGAAAUGAAAUAAUGAACCGAGGGGUGAGACAUGUAUCGAAGCAACAAACCCCAUGACGAUGGGUUAACAGUCCACUACUAACCUUCACAUUUCAUCACAUCAAUCCAAUUAUACAAAACAAACCAUAUUUCCAAUAUGCACGUCAAAUCACAAUUAAUAAACAUAGAUCGAUGCUAAAAAUAAAAAUAACACUUCAAUAGAAAGCACAUUUAAUAAACAAGUAUAACUCAAUAUGGUGCCACCAAUACAUAUAUCGAGACAUGUUAACCGAGAACAACACGUCAUCGUGAUAAGCCAACUAAGUUCCAUCACGCCUCAACAACAAACUAGAGAUAAACGACACUCUAGAGUAUAGCAUGUUGACUAGAACGUCAACCGUCGAUAAGGUAAGUCCAUUAAGAUCAACAAUCUAAGGUUAUUCAAUCCGGAAGAUCCGCACAUCGGAUUUCCAAUCCGUAAGUUCUCAAAGGUCCAACAACUGAUAACUAGGGUGCUUACAAAAUUGUACGACGAUCCAACGAUCGAAUUGUCGUCAAUACAAACAAGUGGUGGUCCAAUUUGAUCACCACACCAAACAAUUGAAUUUCAGGAAACCGAGCUAGACGUAGGUUCAUAGGGUCACUAGAAGGUAUUUGGUACUUAGACAACACUCGUGGACUGUCCCACGCACCUCUACACACGGUGGUAGCCAAGGUGGAGGGUUUUGAAAAUCCGAAUUUUCAACAUUAACUAAAUGAGCUCAAAUUUACGUGGUAGCUAAAGCUCAACAAGGGAAACACUUUUCAUAACUAGGCCGACACAAAUUCUAACCGGAAAUCGUCCAAAUUCAUCGGAAAAAACUGAAUUUCUAGGGUUCUAAACACCCAACUCUAAAAUGAAUACGAAAGCACGAACCAAGCAUACCAACUUGAAGAUUAUGAAGAGUAGAUGAAGUUUCAUACCUCACUCGAAGGAAAUGGUUGCCGGAAUCACUGGAAAAAUGACAAAAUCUCCGGAAACCCAGGGAACUUUGCUGUCUCGAACUGGAAAAAUGGAUUUAAAAAAGGGAACUUUAACGAAAAGCACCCGGUACUGUUCACUUUAACGAAAAACCACAUUUUUACACUAAAAAGUCAAUCCUGGUACUAUUCACUUUACCCUUUAUUUUGUCCUUAUCAUUAAAACUCAAAGUUUUCAAACCCUUUUCAUUAGUUUUCCUUUUAAAAAAUUGGGAAAUCUAACACUAGAGAGAUGUAGGGCUCGUCAAGAGUUUUCCAUGGACACCAAGAUCAUCCAAAACGGAAAUCGGAUGAAAGAGACACAAGCGGGUCAAGUUUAUGGGUUAACAAAUUAAAUUCGCCCCCAAAAUGAGUUAGCAGAAGCCCUUUUUUUUUUUUUCUAGAAACCUUCCCCCUUUUUAAUUUGAUUGGUCCUCUCUUCAACCUUUACUUCUGAUUGGCCACAAAAGCACAUACCUCCUUGGGCUUUUUCCCUCAAAGUGAGAGUUUAAAUAAUUUCUAAAAUCUAUAGUUUAGUAACACAACUUCAAACGUCUGUAACUAUAUUGUUAUAAUCCGGACUCGCAAACAGCUUUCACCUAUGCAUUCGUGGUUUUGAGAUUUAUUCGAAAAUAAUAUAAAUUCUCCUUAAUACCAAUAUGUAGUUUGCAAUAGUGAAAUCCAGGAACGGGAUUUCACACAUUUCAACCCAAAAGAUUUCAAACUUGACAGUCCAGAAAAUCAGAGCACCAUUUGAUAAUCCUAUCUUUACAGGUUUGCUUGCUCGCUGCAUCAAUGAAACCGAUAUAUCUGUUAGUCCCAUUACACCUACCAGAAGAUUACAGUUAUGUCGCAAAUGAGAGAAGUGAGAGAAAAGCAUCAUCCAGGAUUUACCUCUUCUCAUGCAGGAGAAUCAUAUAUAUCGACCCCAAGUAGUUCCACAUUAUCAGACUACAAAAAAUUCACUCCCCUCGCCACUCUCCUGUAAUUUCAUCGGAAUUAGACUCUGAAACUCUAAUUUAAGAUGGAAUAUUGCUGAGGACAAUCAAUUUAAUAAUAAAUAAAAAAAUACCUGGCUGUUGUCUUGAGAGUUGGAGAGAGUGAAAUGAAAGCUCAUAGGACGGUGAUUUCAUUCUCUAUCUUUAUGAAAGGAAUGCGAGCUAUGUUUCUCCAAUAUUUUCCCUUCUUGUUCCGAUACCUCUUCUUCAGAGAAGGGCAAUCCCAGAUCCUCAGAUAAGAAAGAGAUGCCGGCAAACCCUCUUUCGGCAGGAAUUCGAGACUCUGGCACCAUUCAAUUUGUAGCUGUUGAAGAGAAGUGAGGUGCUCAAGUCCCUUUCCGUCCAAAGAUUUCAGAUCCCAUACCUGAGAGAUUACGAGAGUGUGAAAGAUUUCAGAUCCCAUACCUGAGAGAUUACGAGAGUGUGAAGAGUGGCAGGGAGCAGCUGUUCAUUGAGCAACGUCUCCACCAGAUCCUUGUUUCCUUCGAUCCCAGACCGUUGAAGGGCGGUGAGGGUGUGCAUUCAGGGAGUUGAGAUUUUCAUCUGCUCCUCCUUCAACUGAAAGAGAUUCCAGAUUCUGACAACCAUCGAUACAAAGAGAUGAAAGGUUGGGGAAAAUGCCCAAAGGGAACGACCUCAGAGAAUCACAGCCCUCCCAUAUCCACAAAGACUGAAGGGAAGUCAAUUUGGCCAUCAUCUCACGUGAAAGGAAUUCUAAUUUCUUGCACUUUUCUAUACGGAGUGACGUCAGCGUGGUGGGCAGACCAUUUGUAGGGAACGACAAGAGUGAGGAACAUUCAUAUAAUGUCAAACUUUGAAGAUGAUUGCUGUUGUGCACCAUUUGCGGCAACCACUCUCUCCCAUCAAAAUAAAUAUCAAGCAUCUGAAGCGACGGCAGCGUCUCCGUCGACUCGAGUAACAAUGAGAGACCCGGACAUCACUUUAUUGUCAGUUGUUCAAGAGAUCGUCGUAAGGAUUCUGUGUUCAGGGUAUUACUGGCCCUGUUUUCAUGUAGAACCUUACAUCCAUCGACCCAAAGGAUUUUCAAGGAAGGAAGAUGAGUGGGCAAGUUUCCUCUCAGCUUCGGACAUUGGCGUAACCUCCGCUCCUUAAGACGAGGAAAGUCUGGACUUUCACCUCCACUUGGACUUGGUUGCCAUUCCCACUCCACUGAAGGCCUCAGUCUCUCACAAUUUUCGAUCCAAAAUGUUCGUAGGUUGGGAGGCAAACCCCCUUGUGCACGUGACCCCAGACUUGGAAGAUUUUGUAUCCACAAAUGUUGAAGGGCGGUGAGGGUGUGCAUUCGGGCCAGCUACAACUUCAAUUUCUUGCAUUUGGCUGCACAGUCCUGCCAACAACAACUUCAACGCAGAAUAAUGCUUCUCCUUUUGCUACAGUGCUGCCAAAGAUAGAGUGGAAUUAUAUCCACUUCCAUAGCAGCAGCCUCCAAAUCAGCAACCAUCGGCAGCCAACGACGUAGUGUCAUGGCCUAAAAUGUACGUGGUAGAGAAAAAUGAACCCCCGUGCACGCACUUGGCUGCACAGGCAGCAACAAAGUGUGUGGCUGCAUAUGAAUCAGAAAAACAAUGAAUGGACCCCUUAGCGACUGGGAAAUCCUGCUAUAUGCUAUCAUGUACAUGAAGCACUACCACGGUUGAGUUGCUACUUACCAAGAAGGUUUCUAAAUUUGAGAGCCCACUGCUCCAACUUUCACCAUCAAACUUGGGUUAAGGCUUAUCAUCAUCUAUUUCUCCACGGCAUCUUCCUCUAGAGCAGUUAACGAAUCAAAUGAUUACCUCCAUAUAUAGUGAGCAAAUCUGCAAUGUUCAAAUAAUUUUUUUCUUCGUUUGUUAACUUGCUACAUCACACACACUAAUAUAUAGAAAACAAACCUCCAAGUCCAGAUGCAACUUUGAAUAUUCUCUUGAUUGCUCAUGAAAUCCACAAUGGUGAGAAGAAUGCUAAUAUAUAGAAAACAAGCCGACAAAUACGUUAGUCCCAUCGUGUUGUCCUGACUGAUUGCAUAGUUGAAUUACAUUGAUCCAUAAAGGAAGAACAAAUUACACUCAAGUGUUCAACUACUUACACUGAAAUCUGUAGGCGCAGCAGCUAGCCACCAAGUCUAUUUACACUGGCAUUCUUGGCAUUCUAGCAAGCGGUGCCAAUAAGCCCUGCUCUCUUCAUCCAUGGUGUUUGCAGACAAAAAUAUGUGUAUGCAGCUACCACAAGAUGACAGAGGCAUUGAAAGAUGAGUAAGCAUUCCGCCAUAUGGAAACCUCAGCAGUAUAUAUGUAUACACAAGUACCUGAGUGGUUGAUGUAAGCUAACAUCGUUUUCCCUCUGAUAAUCCUAUCUUCACAGUUCAAUAGUUUUCUCUCUAGACCGACGAAGUCCCACAUACAUUCAAUCUUUAUAUAGCUGUUCAAGAGAGCUGAGGUCUAGAGGUCCCUGUCCUGGAAGGAAUUGCGAGAGUGGGAGGUGUUGAAAGUCCAUUUCCAUCCAAAAUAUUUCAAAAUUGACGGUCCAGAAAAUCAGAGCACCAUUUGAUAAUCCUAUCUUUACAGGUUUGCUUGCUCGCUGCAUCAAUUAAACCGAUAUAUCUGUUAGUCCCAUCACACCUUAGUCC